rnacentral:tRNA from 1 species
ACUGGGUUGGCCGAGUGGUUAAGGCGUUGGACUUAAGUUCCAAUGGAACAAGUGUCCCGCGUGGGUUCGAACCCCACACCCAGUA